rnacentral:lncRNA from 1 species
AGCAGAAUACUAAAAAAAGAACAAAGAUUUCUGUUUGUUUAGUCGCUUGUCUUUUGUUAAUGUCUGUUGGAGGUAAGAAACAAACAAGUCAACCGCUUUUAGUCUUUGUGUAUAACUGUUGUUUGUUGAAAUGAGUUGUAUUGCUCUUUCGUGAGUUUCUGUGUUGGCAGGUAUCCUUUCUUGUUAUUACAGUUGAAAUGUUAGAAAUAUAGAUCUUUUUGCUAUUAGGUAAUGUCCACCUGCAUAAUAUGUUGCUGCUAAGUAAGUUUUGUCAAAUUUUAUAAAAAUCAUUAUGGAUUAUACGUUGAUCUAUAAAUGUCUGUAGUAUUAUUGUAUGUUUGAUCGCUGUUCAAUUGACAUAUGGCCAUCAUCCCCAUGUAUGUACAUCUAAAUAUUGCUUUUUUCCCCUCUUAAUAAGAGAUGAGAUGAGAGGCACACCAGACAUAACAUUAGGGAACUGCUAUUAUAACCUCGAUCCGUGUUUCCUAAAAAUCUUUUAUACUAAUGAAAUGAUGAUAUAUCAUAGCAACGAUUGUUUUUGGUUGUUUAUAAAUGAUUUGUGUACGUAUUUUGAAUCUUAAAUGCAUUAUGUUAGCAAAACAUUUCACUACACUUGAUGAAAUAAAAUACACUAUAUAUAAAACUUAUGUGCGAAACAAUGUCUGUCAACAUAAUUGUGUUUGCAUUGUACUUUAAAAAAAAUAUCAGUUUUCUCGUAUGUUGGAAUACAUCUUAACGGUUCAGAAUAUACAUUUGUUUUCCAUUGGAGUCAACAUGGCAAAUGACGAAAUGCUGGAAGACAAUGAACUCAUUCAUGAGUAAGUUUGGUUUAAUUCCUUAUAGAUUCCAUAGAUUUGAUUUGUAUAAGAGUCGGCUAUCAUUGAAGUAGUGAGUUGGUUCAGUAAUAAUAAAUAACUAAAUAUCAAAGGUCGAUGUCUCUAGGUAAAUAUUUUUAUCAAGAAUAUGAAGUUUUUAAGCAACAUUGGUUGUAUUAUAUGAUUUUAGUAUAUUAUUAUACUGUAAAAAGCAAACACAACACAUAAGGGUAUCAAUAAUGUAUCACAUACGGAAAUACUUAGAUAUGCAACGCUGAUGUAUAUUGCAGGAAAAAUCGCAUUGGAAAAAAAUCAAAUGAAAAGAAAUCUAUAGUUUUACUUCAGUAUAAGUGUAAAAGUAUCUAAAAAAAAAUGGAAAGUUUCAAUCGAAAGCAAAACCUUAAAAGAAAACAUCAGAUCAUAUUUGGACAAAAACAAAAAAGUAUAAAGUUGUCUAUAAAGCACAAAUAUAGAAUAAAAAACAUGUAAGCUUCGGAAACAGUUUUUUUGUUUAGACAGCCAAUUUUUCGAUUAUCUUCAGUAAACAAAUUUUCCAACCACUGAAUCAGAGGCUCCCGACUAGGAACCGGUACAUACAUAGUGUGGCGGCUGUAAACAUGACAGCAGGCGCGGGUUUACCAAUUGAAUUGACCAGUACAUUUUCGUCAAUAAUUUAUACAUGUCUAUAUAUGCUAUGAACUUUAUAAGAGGGACAGUUGAUAAUGUUGUCUCUUAACGACUCUUAAGAUAUCAAUAAUGUCCAUUCGCCUAUGCCCUGCGAUUAGUUCUGGAUAUCAUUCUGAUCAUCUGAACCUCUAUCAAAAAAAAUAUCAAUAAAGAUGUAAGACACUGAUUUGAAUUAACCAGCAAUUCAAAUAUUGGUAUUAGUACUUGAUUUUGUAAACUAAUUACAUGAUAGCAAUAUAAAACCAUACUUCCGGAAAUUUAUGAAUGUUCAAAUAUUACUCAAUCUAACCCUCGAAAUGGAUGCUUAUAUGUGUUUUUUUCUACAAAUAUUAACUAUCAGUGUUGUCUUGUUUUAGUCGUGUGAAGAGAGCUCCAUGUUGGCCUCGAGGAUGUUUUCGUGAUCGUGACUGCUGUUAUGGAUAUCAAUGCUCUUAUAGAAAAUGCAUGCGCAAAAGGGGCUAGUGAGUUUAGCCAUCCAUCAUUUGCAAGUUCUGAAGAUUCCAGAAAAUCGUGUUAUUUAAAAUGUUGGACUUGUGUAAAUGAUCAGCGAUAAUUAAAAUUAUUCAGAUUUAUUUUCUUUGGUAUUUUUCUUACUUUAUUGUAACAAGUUGAAUGAUACCUAAAACACAAUUUCACUAACCUUCAAGGCAACGUAUGAUUCGAGUCAAUAACAUGGCUUUCAACAUUUAAUAAAUAAAUGAUGCAAUCGCAUCUAAGCAAACUUACUAAUAAU